rnacentral:rRNA from 1 species
AACGAACGCUGGCGGCAGGCUUAACACAUGCAAGUCGAGCGCCCCGCAAGGGGUGCGGCAGACGGGUGAGUAACGCGUGGGAAUCUACCCAUCUCUACGGAACAACUCCGGGAAACUGGAGCUAAUACCGUAUACGCCCCUCGGGGGAAAGAUUUAUCGGAGAUGGAUGAGCCCGCGUUGGAUUAGCUAGUUGGUGGGGUAAAGGCCUACCAAGGCGACGAUCCAUAGCUGGUCUGAGAGGAUGAUCAGCCACAUUGGGACUGAGACACGGCCCAAACUCCUACGAGAGGCAGCAGUGGGGAAUAUUGGACAAUGGGCGAAAGCCUGAUCCAGCCAUGCCGCGUGAGUGAUGAAGGCCCUAGGGUUGUAAAGCUCUUUCACCGAUGAAGAUAAUGACGGUAGUCGGAGAAGAAGCCCCGGCUAACUUCGUGCCAGCCGCCGCUGUAACAC